rnacentral:lncRNA from 1 species
UGUCCCUCAAGAUUAAAUCCAAUAUUUCUUUUUCAGCUUGGAGGAUGGAGGUAGUCAAAAGGAGAUGCCUUUGAACGGGAGCAGAAUAACCAGAAUACAGCACUUCAUAUACAGUACAAGACUGAUUUUAUGGGAAAACCUCUCCCUGCCUCACUUCUGCUAAGCCCUGUUGGAGAACCAGAGCAGAGAUGACACAAUCCCAGUGGAGCACUUACCGAUGGUUGGCACCAAGAGAACAUCUGGUGUGGGCAGUGGCUGGAGCUCAGCAUCCUAGCAAGGUACUUUCUGGAAGGAAGGAACACCUGAGAUCUCUCAUCCCUGAGAAUAACUCCCUGUGCAUUAGCACCACCAAACUAAUGAGGAAUUCCAGGCCACAUGUGACCUCUGGCUCUGCAAGGAUCAGCCUCACUGGAGCUCCUCCGUGUGACAUGUGAAGCUCCUGUGUCGCAACAGCCCCGCUACCAGCUCCUGGGGCCUGAGCCGUGGCUGCGGUCGCUGCGGUGGAGCUGGAGCCGUGGCAGAGUCUGCAGGAGGACGGGUAGGUCACGUACCACAGCGAGCUGCAGUGGAGCCAGGUGCCACAUGGGAGAAGGUCAAUAAAGCAGAAAACGUAAGUGAUGGAUUGUUUCUG